rnacentral:rRNA from 1 species
AGACAGUGUCAGGUAGGCAGUUUGACUGGGGCGGUCGCCUCCUAAAAUGUAACGGAGGCGCCCAAAGGUUCCCUCAGAAUGGUUGGAAAUCAUUCGCAGAGUGUAAAGGUAUAAGGGAGCUUGACUGCGAGACUGACAAGUCGAGCAGGGACGAAAGUCGGGCUUAGUGAUCCGGUGGUUCCGUAUGGAAGGGCCAUCGCUCAACGGAUAAAAGCUACCCUGGGGAUAACAGGCUUAUCUCCCCCAAGAGUCCAC